UACGGGGGGGGGCAAGCGUUGUUCGGAAUUACUGGGCGUAAAGGGCUCGUAGGCGGCCAACUAAGUCAGACGUGAAAUCCCUCAGCUUAACUGGGGAACUGCGUCUGAUACUGGAUGGCUUGGAUUCGGGAGAGGAAUGCGGAAUUCCAGGUGUAGCGGUGAAAUGCGUAGAUAUCUGGAGGAACACCGGUGGCGAAGGCGGCAUUCUGGACCGACAUUGACGCUGAGGAGCGAAAGCCAGGGGAGCAAACGGG
rnacentral:rRNA from 1 species